rnacentral:rRNA from 1 species
UACGUAGGGUGCAAGCGUUGUCCGGAAUUAUUGGGCGUAAAGAGCUCGUAGGCGGUCUGUUGCGUCGGCUGUGAAAACCCGGGGCUCAACUCCGGGCCUGCAGCCGAUACGGGCAGACUAGAGUUCGGCAGGGGAGACUGGAAUUCCUGGUGUAGCGGUGAAAUGCGUAGAUAUCGGGAGGAGCACCAGUGGCGAAGGCGGCAUCCUGGCCAUGUCCUGACGCUCAGGGGCGAAAGCGUGGGGAGCAAACCGG